rnacentral:rRNA from 1 species
ACUCAAAUGAAUUGACGGGGACCCGCACAAGCGGUGGAGCGUGUUGUUUAAUUCGACGAUAAGCGAAGAACCUUACCAGGGUUUGACAUCCUUGGAAUUUUUGCGAAAGCAAAAAGUGCCGUUUGGAACCAAGUGACAGGUGAUGCAUGGCCGUCGUCAGCUCGUGUCGUGAGAUGUUGGGUUAAGUCCCGCAACGAGCGCAACCCUUAUGGUUAGUUGGAUUUCUCUAACCAGACUGCCUCGGCAACGGGGAGGAAGGAGGGGAUGAUGUCAGGUCAGUAUUUCCCUUACAUCCUGGGCGACAAACACGCUACAAUGGCCGGUACAGAGGGCCGCUAAGUCGCGAGACGGAGCAAAUCCCAUCAAAGCCGGUCUCAGUUCGGAUUGUAGGCUGAAACUCGCCUGCAUGAAGCCGGAAUCGCUAGUAACCGUAGGUCAGCACACUACGGUGAAUACGUUCCCGGGUCUUGUACACACCGCCCGU